CCUACGGGAGGCAGCAGUGAGGAAUAUUGGUCAAUGGACGAGAGUCUGAACCAGCCAAGUAGCGUGAAGGAUGACUGCCCUAUGGGUUGUAAACUUCUUUUAUAUGGGAAUAAAAUGUUCCACGUGUGGGUUUUUGUAUGUAACAUAUGAAUAAGGAUCGGCUAACGCCGUGCCAGCAGCCGCGGUAAUACGGAGGAUACGAGCGUUAUCCGGAUUUAUUGGGUUUAAAGGGAGCGUAGGUGGAUUGUUAAGUCAGUUGUGAAAGUUUGCGGCUCAACCGUAAAAUUGCAGUUGAAACUGGCAGUCUUGAGUACAGUAGAGGUGGGCGGAAUUCGUGGUGUAGCGGUGAAAUGCUUAGAUAUCACGAAGAACUCCGAUUGCGAAGGCAGCUCACUGGACUGCAACUGACACUGAGGCUCGAAAGUGUGGGUAUCAAACAGGAUUAGAUACCCCUGUAGUC
rnacentral:rRNA from 1 species